rnacentral:rRNA from 1 species
GAGCGGAAAGGCCCUUCGGGGUACUCGAGCGGCGAACGGGUGAGUAACACGUGAGCAACCUGCCCCUGACUAUGGGAUAAGCCCGGGAAACUGGGUCUAAUACCGGAUAUGACCGCCUCCGGCAUCGGAUGGUGGUGGAAAGUUUUUCGGUUGGGGAUGGGCUCGCGGCCUAUCAGCUUGUUGGUGGGGUAGUGGCCUACCAAGGCGACGACGGGUAGCCGGCCUGAGAGGGCGACCGGCCACACUGGGACUGAGACACGGCCCAGACUCCUACGGGAGACAGCAGUGGGGAAUAUUGCGCAAUGGGCGGAAGCCUGACGCAGCGACGCCGCGUGGGGGAUGACGGCCUUCGGGUUGUAAACCCCUUUCAGCAGGGACGAAGUUGACGUGUACCUGCAGAAGAAGCGCCGGCUAACUACGUGCCAGCAGCCGCGGUAAU